ensembl:misc_RNA 7SK 7SK RNA
GGACUGGGAGGAUGUGACAUCGGUCAUCCCACUGAUUGCCAGGGCUGCUUCGGCCGAUCUGGCUGGGGGCCAGGUCCCCCUUCCUCCUACCGCUCCACAUGCGCCCCUCCCAAAGCUGUGCUGUCGGUGGAAGAGGACGAGCACCCCGAUAGAGGAGGACCUCGUCCUCCGUCAAGGGUGUACGAGGGGCUGUGCUCCCGUGCUAGAUCCUCCAAAGAAGCUCUCAGCGGGCCUGGGACACCCAAGCCCAGCACAGCCCUAGGCCUGGCAUAAACAGAAACUUGGCUCGUCCCU